AGCGAACGCUGGCGGCAGGCCUAACACAUGCAAGUCGAACGGACCCUUCGGGGUUAGUGGCGGACGGGUGAGUAACACGUGGGAACGUGCCUUUAGGUUCGGAAUAGCUCCUGGAAACGGGUGGUAAUGCCGAAUGCGCCCUUCGGGGGAAAGAUUUAUCGCCUUUAGAGCGGCCCGCGUCUGAUUAGCUAGUUGGUGAGGUAAAGGCUCACCAAGGCGACGAUCAGUAGCUGGUCUGAGAGGAUGACCAGCCACAUUGGGACUGAGACACGGCCCAAACUCCUACGGGAGGCAGCAGUGGGGAAUCUUGCGCAAUGGGCGAAAGCCUGACGCAGCCAUGCCGCGUGGAUGAUGAAGGUCUUAGGAUUGUAAAAUCCUUUCACCGGUGAAGAUAAUGACUGUAGCCGGAGAAGAAGCCCCGGCUAACUUCGUGCCAGCCGCCGCCGUAAGAC
rnacentral:rRNA from 1 species